rnacentral:rRNA from 1 species
GGUUAAGCGACUAAGCGUACACGGUGGAUGCCCUGGCAGUCAGAGGCGAUGAAGGACGUGCUAAUCUGCGAUAAGCGUCGGUAAGGUGAUAUGAACCGUUAUAACCGGCGAUUUCCGAAUGGGGAAACCCAGUGUGAUUCGUCACACUAUCAUUAACUGAAUCCAUAGGUUAAUGAGGCGAACCGGGGGAACUGAAACAUCUAAGUACCCCGAGGAAAAGAAAUCAACCGAGAUUCCCCCAGUAGCGGCGAGCGAACGGGGAGCAGCCCAGAGCCUGAAUCAGUGUGUGUGUUAGUGGAAGCGUCUGGAAAGGCGCGCGAUACAGGGUGACAGCCCCGUACACAAAAAUGCACAUACUGUGAGCUCGAUGAGUAGGGCGGGACACGUGGUAUCCUGUCUGAAUAUGGGGGGACCAUCCUCCAAGGCUAAAUACUCCUGACUGACCGAUAGUGAACCAGUACCGUGAGGGAAAGGCGAAAAGAACCCCGGCGAGGGGAGUGAAAAAGAACCUGAAACCGUGUACGUACAAGCAGUGGGAGCACAGAGCAAUCUGUGUGACUGCGUACCUUUUGUAUAAUGGGUCAGCGACUUAUAUUCUGUAGCAAGGUUAACCGAAUAGGGGAGCCGAAGGGAAACCGAGUCUUAACUGGGCGUUAAGUUGCAGGGUAUAGACCCGAAACCCGGUGAUCUAGCCAUGGGCAGGUUGAAGGUUGGGUAACACUAACUGGAGGACCGAACCGACUAAUGUUGAAAAAUUAGCGGAUGACUUGUGGCUGGGGGUGAAAGGCCAAUCAAACCGGGAGAUAGCUGGUUCUCCCCGAAAGCUAUUUAGGUAGCGCCUCGUGAAUUCAUCUCCGGGGGUAGAGCACUGUUUCGGCAAGGGGGUCAUCCCGACUUACCAACCCGAUGCAAACUGCGAAUACCGGAGAAUGUUAUCACGGGAGACACACGGCGGGUGCUAACGUCCGUCGUGAAGAGGGAAACAACCCAGACCGCCAGCUAAGGUCCCAAAGUCAUGGUUAAGUGGGAAACGAUGUGGGAAGGCCCAGACAGCCAGGAUGUUGGCUUAGAAGCAGCCAUCAUUUAAAGAAAGCGUAAUAGCUCACUGGUCGAGUCGGCCUGCGCGGAAGAUGUAACGGGGCUAAACCAUGCACCGAAGCUGCGGCAGCGACGCUUAUGCGUUGUUGGGUAGGGGAGCGUUCUGUAAGCCUGUGAAGGUGUACUGUGAGGUAUGCUGGAGGUAUCAGAAGUGCGAAUGCUGACAUAAGUAACGAUAAAGCGGGUGAAAAGCCCGCUCGCCGGAAGACCAAGGGUUCCUGUCCAACGUUAAUCGGGGCAGGGUGAGUCGACCCCUAAGGCGAGGCCGAAAGGCGUAGUCGAUGGGAAACAGGUUAAUAUUCCUGUACUUGGUGUUACUGCGAAGGGGGGACGGAGAAGGCUAUGUUGGCCGGGCGACGGUUGUCCCGGUUUAAGCGUGUAGGCUGGUUUUCCAGGCAAAUCCGGAAAAUCAAGGCUGAGGCGUGAUGACGAGGCACUACGGUGCUGAAGCAACAAAUGCCCUGCUUCCAGGAAAAGCCUCUAAGCAUCAGGUAACAUCAAAUCGUACCCCAAACCGACACAGGUGGUCAGGUAGAGAAUACCAAGGCGCUUGAGAGAACUCGGGUGAAGGAACUAGGCAAAAUGGUGCCGUAACUUCGGGAGAAGGCACGCUGAUAUGUAGGUGAAGUCCCUCGCGGAUGGAGCUGAAAUCAGUCGAAGAUACCAGCUGGCUGCAACUGUUUAUUAAAAACACAGCACUGUGCAAACACGAAAGUGGACGUAUACGGUGUGACGCCUGCCCGGUGCCGGAAGGUUAAUUGAUGGGGUCAGCGCAAGCGAAGCUCUUGAUCGAAGCCCCGGUAAACGGCGGCCGUAACUAUAACGGUCCUAAGGUAGCGAAAUUCCUUGUCGGGUAAGUUCCGACCUGCACGAAUGGCGUAAUGAUGGCCAGGCUGUCUCCACCCGAGACUCAGUGAAAUUGAACUCGCUGUGAAGAUGCAGUGUACCCGCGGCAAGACGGAAAGACCCCGUGAACCUUUACUAUAGCUUGACACUGAACAUUGAGCCUUGAUGUGUAGGAUAGGUGGGAGGCUUAGAAGUGUGGACGCCAGUCUGCAUGGAGCCGACCUUGAAAUACCACCCUUUAAUGUUUGAUGUUCUAACGUUGACCCGUAAUCCGGGUUGCGGACAGUGUCUGGUGGGUAGUUUGACUGGGGCGGUCUCCUCCUAAAGAGUAACGGAGGAGCACGAAGGUUGGCUAAUCCUGGUCGGACAUCAGGAGGUUAGUGCAAUGGCAUAAGCCAGCUUGACUGCGAGCGUGACGGCGCGAGCAGGUGCGAAAGCAGGUCAUAGUGAUCCGGUGGUUCUGAAUGGAAGGGCCAUCGCUCAACGGAUAAAAGGUACUCCGGGGAUAACAGGCUGAUACCGCCCAAGAGUUCAUAUCGACGGCGGUGUUUGGCACCUCGAUGUCGGCUCAUCACAUCCUGGGGCUGAAGUAGGUCCCAAGGGUAUGGCUGUUCGCCAUUUAAAGUGGUACGCGAGCUGGGUUUAGAACGUCGUGAGACAGUUCGGUCCCUAUCUGCCGUGGGCGCUGGAGAACUGAGGGGGGCUGCUCCUAGUACGAGAGGACCGGAGUGGACGCAUCACUGGUGUUCGGGUUGUCAUGCCAAUGGCACUGCCCGGUAGCUAAAUGCGGAAGAGAUAAGUGCUGAAAGCAUCUAAGCACGAAACUUGCCCCGAGAUGAGUUCUCCCUGACUCCUUGAGAGUCCUGAAGGAACGUUGAAGACGACGACGUUGAUAGGCCGGGUGUGUAAGCGCAGCGAUGCGUUGAGCUAACCGGUACUAAUGAACCGUGAGGCUUAACCUU